rnacentral:rRNA from 1 species
GACGAACGCUGGCGGCGUGCCUAAUACAUGCAAGUAGAACGCUGAAGAGAGGAGCUUGCUCUUCUUGGAUGAGUUGCGAACGGGUGAGUAACGCGUAGGUAACCUGCCUUGUAGCGGGGGAUAACUAUUGGAAACGAUAGCUAAUACCGCAUAACAAUGGAUGACACAUGUCAUUUAUUUGAAAGGGGCAAUUGCUCCACUACAAGAUGGACCUGCGUUGUAUUAGCUAGUAGGUGAGGUAAUGGCUCACCUAGGCGACGAUACAUAGCCGACCUGAGAGGGUGAUCGGCCACACUGGGACUGAGACACGGCCCAGACUCCUACGGGAGGCAGCAGUAGGGAAUCUUCGGCAAUGGGGGCAACCCUGACCGAGCAACGCCGCGUGAGUGAAGAAGGUUUUCGGAUCGUAAAGCUCUGUUGUAAGUCAAGAACGGGUGUGAGAGUGGAAAGUUCACACUGUGACGGUAGCUUACCAGAAAGGGACGGCUAACUACGUGC